UGGCGAAUAUUGCACAAUGGGCGGAAGCCUGAGGCAGCGACGCCGCGUGGGUGAUGAAGGCUUUCGGGUGGUGAACUCCUUUCGACAGGGACGAAGCGUAAGUGACGGUACCUGCAUAAGAAGCACCGGCUAACUACGUGCCAGCAGCCGCGGUAAUACGUAGGGUGCCAGCGUUUUCUGGAAUUACUGGGCGUAAAGAGCUCGUAGGUGGUUUGUCGAAUUGUGUGUGAAAUUCCGGGGGUUAACUCCGGGCGUGCCGGUGAUACGGGCCGGCUUGAGUUCUGUAGGGGAGGCUGGAAUUCCCGGGGUAGCGGUGAAAUGCGCAGAUAUUAGGAGGAAUUCCGAUGGCGAAGGCAGGUCUCUGGGCAGUAGCUGGCGGUGAGGAGCGAAAGCAUGGGUAGCGAACCGGAUUAGAUUCCCUGGUAGUUCCUCCCGUAAACGGUGGGCGAUAGGGGUAGGGGGCUUCCGCGUCUUGUGUUCCGUAGCUAACGCAUUAAGUCCCCCGCCUGGGGAGUACGGCCGCAAGGCUA
rnacentral:rRNA from 1 species